GACGGAGGGGGAGGAGUCGCCAUGUUGAAUCUAACGGCGAAUGAGCCGAUCAUCUGUCUGUCCAUAUAGUUGGAAAAUGGAGAUGUUCUCUGCCCCAAAACCCCCUUUAUUGAGGAAUUUACUAGUUGAAGAAUUGUUGUUGAGCAAAUGAAAUCAAUCUGUCAGUGAUAUUAAAUUUUCUCACAUAUUCAUGUAUAUAGAUCUACUCCGAGUGGAAAUACUCUGAAGUACACGCAUACAUGAAACUUAUUAUAUGAUUUCUCUAUUAGCUUAUUAGUUUAUACUUAGUUUAUAGUGAUAUCUGGAAUUUUUACUGCUUCUAACAUGAUUUUUUGAAAAUAUUGCGAAAAUGUGAAGGGUUUUUGCAAAAAAAGUGUAAAGAAGGUUCACAGCUUUUACUUGACAUUUGUAUGAUAGAAAUUAGCUAAUUAACAUUUAGUAUAGUUCUUAUCAUAAUAAUAUUAUGCUGUUAUUUCGAAUAUGGUUAAAAUAUUCUGCUAUCAAUUAUCUAAGCAAUAUUAAUUUUCUUGCUAAUAAAUAUAUGUUAAUUGAUGAUAUUUUUUUCUUUAAGGUUGUUGUAUUUAGCUGAUUUGGGGUGACAAUACUGAGACAAAAUGGCAAGAACUUCAAGCGAAAUAUUGGUGAAAAGUUUUCGUUAUGUCCAUAGAAAAGUUGUCCGGAAAAAACAGUGGCUAAUGCAAUAAUCGGAAACUGCGCAGGUCCUCCCGCGAUGCUGGCGAUUUUUUGCAAACUCUACGAUUCCAUAUCCUAUCGGUUAUUCAUUAAGCAGAAAAAUUUCCCAAAUUUUCAACACUACCACCAAAGAACUAUCCCAAUCCAAAGUUUUCAAGGACUACGGGAAUUACGGACAGUUUACUAUCAUCCGAAUGGAGACUAUUCUAUGUUCUGAGGGAUUUAUUACGUUGACCCUUGUUUAGACGGCAUAAAUACAUGACCAGGGCCAGCGUUUUCACGCCAGGUACUCCAGCGUCAUGUACCAGCAAGUGCUACGUAACAAUAACACCAAACUUUCAUUUGUAUAUUCAAAUAAAAAGACCCAUUAAAUGCUUACUAAGGCAUGUACUUAAGGUUAUCUCAAUGGAUGAUGAUUAUCAGCAGGUUGGAGUUGUUACUAUUUAUGAAGAUCGUUACAUUACUUUUGGUCUUGUGAAAGACCAGUGGAGACUUUAUGAUAAUCAACGUAAAGCUAUCGUAUAUUCAUCACAAUCCGAACGGGUUGAUCCCGUUGGUUUAGUUUACAUUGUAAAGAAUGCAAUGCUUUGUUAAAAGCAUUGCUACAAAAAGUGCCAAAGCUAGUGAAGUAAUUGUAUAAAAAAAAACUGAUUUUAAAGUCUAAUAUUACAAGUUUUUUUUAUAGUUUUGCAAUUUAAUUCUCUUUACUUGCAAUUUGUUGUUAUCAUUUUUUGGCAACUCAAAGGAACUAAAAUGAUAUUGAAUAUUGCUGAAUUAGUAAUACAAUUUAAUAGAUUAGUUGUCUUCAUGUCGUACCUUUAAUUUUUCAUUAUUUUUACCAAAACUGAUUGAAUUUAUUUUAGUUUGCAACAUACUGUAUGUAAUUCACCUAGUAAAGCUGAUUCUGAAUGAAAAGUUUCAUCGAAAA